AUUGAACGCUGGCGGCAGGCUUAACACAUGCAAGUCGAACGGAACCUUCGGGUUUAGUGGCAAACGGGUGAGUAAUGCAUCGGAACGUGCCCCAAUCGUGGGGGAGUAACGUAGCGAAAGUUACGCUAAUACCGCAUAAGCCCUGAGGGGGAAAGGUAGGGGGACCGGCGAAGGCCUCACGCGAAUGGAGCGGCCGAUGUCAGAUUAGCUAGUUGGUGGGGUAAAGGCGUCACCAAGGCGACGAUCUGUAGCGGGUCUGAGAGGAUGAUCCGCCACACUGGGACUGAGACACGGCCCAGACUCCUACGGGAGGCAGCAGUGGGGAAUAUUGGACAAUGGGGGAAACCCUGAUCCAGCAAUGCCGCGUGCAGGAUG
rnacentral:rRNA from 1 species